rnacentral:rRNA from 1 species
GACGAACGCUGGCGGCGCGCUUAACACAUGCAAGUCGAACGGAAGGGCCUGCUUUCCCUUGUGGAUUGCGGGUACUCGAGUGGCGAACGGGUGAGUAACACGUGAGUGAUCUGCCCCCAACUUGGGUAUAAGCCUGGGAAACUGGGUCUAAUUCCCGAUAGGACUGCAGGGUGGUGCCUGUGGUGGAAAACGAUUUUCUAGUGGUUGGGGAUGAGCUCGCGGCCUAUCAGCUUGUUGGUGGGGUAAUGGCCUACCAAGGCGGCGACGGGUAGCCGGCCUGAGAGGGUGGACGGCCACAUUGGGACUGAGAUACGGCCCAGACUCCUACGGGAGGCAGCAGUGGGGAAUAUUGCACACUGGGCGGAAGCCUGAUGCAGCGACGCCGCGUGGGGGAUGACGGCCUUCGGGUUGUAAACUCCUUUCGACCGCGAGGAAGCCACCUGGUUGGAAGGGUGGUGACGGUAGUGGUAGAAGAAGCACCGGCUAACUACGUG